GCUUAUCACCAUUCCAGAUUGAAUAUACCCGAUCUCGUCUGAUCUCGGAAGUCAAGCAGUUCGGGUGGUUAGUAGA
rnacentral:rRNA from 1 species